rnacentral:lncRNA from 1 species
GGGGCACACAGUGUGGGCCAUGAGAGAGGCCCACCUGAGCCAGCCACUCAGGCUGGAAACCACUCCCUGAGGCCAGGGAACAGGACCCCCCUGGGGCUGGCACAGUGGAGCCCUUCCAUCCACCUGGUCUCCUGCAGGCUCACACCCUCAUCUGACCCAGAGUGGCUGCAUUGUUUUACUUCCCACCGGGAGCGCUCGAGGGCUCCCACCCUGGGCCAACAUUCAGCAGGGCAGGGCGUGCACGGGAUUUGAGCUCUGGAACCAUCUCUAUGGCCAUGCUGUGGACACCAGGCUGGGAGGAAGUGAGACCAGUUGUCGAGGACGAGCUCUAAUCAGAAGAGGGGGUUUAACUUCUUGCUGCUGGCCAUGGGGAGCCACAGAAGGUUCUGGAGAGAUCACAUGUGGCUGAGAAAGUGGUAAAUGAGUGCAUCUGACCUGGCAGUUGGGAGCUUCUGAGAAAGGCCCAGCCCCCGGCUGUGGCGGUGCUGAGAGUAAGAAUUGGGGCCUCCCACUGCACAGCCUGGG